UCGGGUGGAAGACCGGGCGACUCUCGGAAGGACUGCCAUCGACAAGAUGGAGGAAGGUGGGGACGACGUCAAGUCAUCAUGGCCCUUAUGUCCAGGGCGACACACGUGCUACAAUGGCCGGCACAACGGGAAGCGAGUUCGCGAGGACGAGCGGAUCCCUUAAAGCCGGUCGCAGUUCGGAUUGAAGUCUGCAACUCGACUUCAUGAAGCUGGAAUCGCUAGUAAUCGCAGAUCAGCCAAGCUGCGGUGAAUACGUUCCCGGGCCUU
rnacentral:rRNA from 1 species